GCUAGUGUGGUGUAGUGGUUUGAAUGCAGGACUAUGACUCUUGAGAUCGGGUUUGAAUCCACGCUGAGCC